rnacentral:rRNA from 1 species
AACGCUAGCUACAGGCUUAACACAUGCAAGUCGCGGGGCAGCAUGAAUUUAGCUUGCUAAAUUUGAUGGCGACCGGCGCACGGGUGAGUAACGCGUAUCCAACCUACCCCGGACUAGGGAAUAGCCCGUUGAAAGACGGAUUAAUGCCCUAUGUUCUCUUUCGCAGGCAUCUAAAGAAGAGUAAAGGCUUGCCGGUUUGGGAUGGGGAUGCGUCCGAUUAGCUUGACGGUGGGGUAACGGCCCACCGUGGCGACGAUCGGUAGGGGUUCUGAGAGGAAGGUCCCCCACAUUGGAACUGAGACACGGUCCAAACUCCUACGGGAGGCAGCAGUGAGGAAUAUUGGUCAAUGGGCGGAAGCCUGAACCAGCCAAGUAGCGUGAGGGACGACGGCCCUAUGGGUUGUAGACCUCUUUUAUGCGGGGAUAACCGGCGCCACGGGUGGCGCCCUGCAGGUACCGCAUGAAUAAGGACCGGCUAAUUCCGUGCCAGCAGCCGCGGUAAUACGGAAGGUCCGGGCGUUAUCCGGAUUCAUUGGGUUUAAAGGGAGCGUAGGCCGCCCUUUAAGCGUGUUGUGAAAUGUAGGGGCUCAACCCCUGCACUGCAGCGCGAACUGGAGGGCUUGAGUACACGCAAGGCAGGCGGAAUUCGUGGUGUAGCGGUGAAAUGCUUAGAUAUCACGAAGAACUCCGAUUG